GAUGAACGCUGGCGGCGUGCCUAAUACAUGCAAGUCGAGCGAACAGACGAGAGUGCUUGCACUCUCUGACGUUAGCGGCGGACGGGUGAGUAACACGUGGGUAACCUACCUAUAAGACUGGGAUAACUUCGGGAAACCGGAUCUAAUACCGGAUAAUAUUUAGCUUCGCAUGACGCAAUAGUGAAAGACGGUUCUGCUGUCACUUAUAGAUGGACCCGCGGUGUAUUAGCUAGUUGGUGAGGUAACGGCUCACCAAGGCAACGAUACAUAGCCGACCUGAGAGGGUGAUCGGCCACACUGGGACUGAGACACGGCCCAGACUCCUACGGGAGGCAGCAGUAGGGAAUCUUCCGCAAUGGACGAAAGUCUGACGGAGCAAUGCCGCGUGAGUGAAGAAGGUUUUCGGAUCGUAAAACUCUGUUGUAAGGGAAGAACAAGUACGUUAGUAACUGAACGUACCUUGACGGUACCUUACCAGAAAGCCACGGCUAACUACGUG
rnacentral:rRNA from 1 species